AUGGUGAACAAACCGUGGGGUAAUUAGAGUAAUCAGGCGAGCAUAUACCCUACCCAUAGAGAUUAAAAGGAAAUCCAGGUUGGAUGGCAUAAUAAUGAGGUGGGAAGGUUGCUGCCGAAGAA